CAGCAGCCGCGGGAAUACGAAGGGUGCAAGCGUUAAUCGGAAUUACUGGGCGUAAAGCGUGCGUAGGCGGUUUGUUAAGUCUGCUGUGAAAUCCCCGGGCUCAACCUGGGAAUGGCAGUGGAUACUGGCAAGCUAGAGUGUGUCAGAGGAUGGUGGAAUUCCCGGUGUAGCGGUGAAAUGCGUAGAGAUCGGGAGGAACAUCAGUGGCGAAGGCGGCCAUCUGGGACAACACUGACGCUGAGGCACGAAAGCGUGGGGAGCAAACGGGAUUAGAUACCCCUGUAGUCCCUGUCUCUUAUAC
rnacentral:rRNA from 1 species